GCUCUUUAACAAUUUAUCAGACAAUCUGUGUGGGCACUCGAAGAUACGGAUUCUUAACGUCGCAAGACGAAAAAUGAAUACCAAGUCUCAAGAGUGAACACGUAAUUCAUUACGAAGUUUAAUUCUUUGAGCAGGGAUAACUACUGGAAACGGUAGCUAAUACCGCAUAACGUCGCAAGACCAAAGAGGGGGACCUUCGGGCCUCUUGCCAUCGGAUGUGCCCAGAUGGGAUUAGCUAGUAGGUGGGGUAACGGCUCACCUAGGCGACGAUCCCUAGCUGGUCUGAGAGGAUGACCAGCCACACUGGAACUGAGACACGGUCCAGACUCCUACGGGAGGCAGCAGUGGGGAAUAUUGCACAAUGGGCGCAAGCCUGAUGCAGCCAUGCCGCGUGUAUGAAGAAGGCCUUCGGGUUGUAAAGUACUUUCAGCGGGGAGGAAGGGAGUAAAGUUAAUACCUUUGCUCAUUGACGUUACCCGCAGAAGAAGCACCGGCUAACUCCGUGCCAGCAGCCGCGGUAAUACGGAGGGUGCAAGCGUUAAUCGGAAUUACUGGGCGUAAAGCGCACGCAGGCGGUUUGUUAAGUCAGAUGUGAAAUCCCCGGGCUCAACCUGGGAACUGCAUCUGAUACUGGCAAGCUUGAGUCUCGUAGAGGGGGGUAGAAUUCCAGGUGUAGCGGUGAAAUGCGUAGAGAUCUGGAGGAAUACCGGUGGCGAAGGCGGCCCCCUGGACGAAGACUGACGCUCAGGUGCGAAAGCGUGGGGAGCAAACAGGAUUAGAUCCCCUGGUAGUCCACGCCGUAAACGAUGUCGACUUGGAGGUUGUGCCCUUGAGGCGUGGCUUCCGGAGCUAACGCGUUAAGUCGACCGCCUGGGGAGUACGGCCGCAAGGUUAAAACUCAAAUGAAUUGACGGGGGCCCGCACAAGCGGUGGAGCAUGUGGUUUAAUUCGAUGCAACGCGAAGAACCUUACCUGGUCUUGACAUCCACAGUGAGACAGGUGCUGCAUGGCUGUCGUCAGCUCGUGUUGUGAAAUGUUGGGUUAAGUCCCGCAACGAGCGCAACCCUUAUCCUUUGUUGCCAGCGGUCCGGCCGGGAACUCAAAGGAGACUGCCAGUGAUAAACUGGAGGAAGGUGGGGAUGACGUCAAGUCAUCAUGGCCCUUACGACCAGGGCUACACACGUGCUACAAUGGCGCAUACAAAGAGAAGCGACCUCGCGAGAGCAAGCGGACCUCAUAAAGUGCGUCGUAGUCCGGAUUGGAGUCUGCAACUCGACUCCAUGAAGUCGGAAUCGCUAGUAAUCGUGGAUCAGAAUGCCACGGUGAAUACGUUCCCGGGCCUUGUACACACCGCCCGUCACACCAUGGGAGUGGGUUGCAAAAGAAGUAGGUAGCUUAACCUUCGGGAGGGCGCUUACCACUUUGUGAUUCAUGACUGGGGUGAAGUCGUAACAAGGUAACCGUAGGGGAACCUGCGGUUG
rnacentral:rRNA from 1 species